rnacentral:tRNA from 1 species
GGCCAGAUAGCUCAGUUGGUUAGAGCAUCAUCCUGAUACACCAAUGUUUUGGGUUUGAUCCCCGGUCAGGUCA